UAUUACUAGAAUCCUCCAGAGGGGGAGCUCUAAACCAAACACAUCAUUCAAAAUAGAUUAAUAAACUCAUGAACAUCAGCUGAUAAAUAGAGGGAGAGAUGAAUGCCAAGCUCGCUGGAACAUUUAAUUUACUUUAUUAUUCAUUGAUCAGUCAGACCUACUGACUAACUUACUGACCGACUUGUUUGAAAUAUACAAACAGGGAAAUAAUUAUUUUGUUAACAACUCAUACAGCUAUUUCUUGUGACGAUGUUUACCUUGUUCUUUCUCCUAAUAUGUGUUAAAUGAUCAUUGUGAAACAUGUAUUAUUUUUGUUCUUCAUUGUCAUUUGAAUGAACAGAAUUGGUUUAUUAAUCUUCAUAGCUGGACCUGGAAAUAAAGCAUCAGCCAGACAUAUAUCAUUUCAUCACAAGACAGAACAGAUAUAACCCCUUAUUAUUAGACAGACUACAUUUCUUAAAAGACUACAAAUAUAGACCUGAAAAUAAAAUGUUAUAAAAGGACAGAAAGCCUCACGUUAUUAAAAAACAAAAAAGUAAGGCCUAUAAAUAUUAUGAUCCAUACAAGACUUACAGCAUUCACACAACAACACAAAAUGUCGAUCUUAAAACAGCCCUUAUUCGACCAUGACGUUAUAAAUUAUUUACUUUUUAUUUUUUUAAUACAAGUAAAUAUAAACAAUGAUAUGAUUAUAAAUCUUAAUAACACAAAAAAAAAAUAUAUGUAAAAAAAUAUAAUAUUAAUAUGGUUUAAAUAACACACUAUCAAAUAAUGCAAAGACGUGUAAAUGAUCUGUGAUCCUGCCCCCCGGUCAUGUAGCUUCUCAACCAACAUUUGACGCCUCCUUGAAUUAUGCAAAAAGGACUGACGCUGAGCCUUAUAAGGUGUCAGUGUAGAACCGGACAUCUUCCUCCAGUUCAGCUUCAACACAAACCAUGUUCUCUGUAGCUGUACUGCUGCUGCUCCUGGCAGCUGGCUCUGGUGUGAACUGUGAACAGCUUACUCAGCCCGAGUCUCGGACUAUCCGAUCUGGUCAGUCUCUGACCAAUCCUUUGCAAUGAUUAAAGUGCCUUUAACACAUGCUUAUUGACCCACAU